rnacentral:rRNA from 1 species
UAAUACGUAGGUGGCGAGCGUUAUCCGGAUUUACUGGGCGUAAAGCGCGUGCAGGCGGUUUCGUAAGUCGGACGUGAAAGCUCCUGGCUUAACUGGGAGAGGCCGUUCGAUACUGCGGAACUUGAGGUCGGGAGAGGGACGUGGAAUUCCCGGUGUAGUGGUGGAAUGCGUAGAUAUCGGGAGGAACACCAGUGGCGAAGGCGGCGUCCUGGCCCGCACCUGACGCUAAGACGCGAAAGCGUGGGUAGCGAGCGGGAUUAGAUACCCCGGUAGUCCACGCUGUAAACGGUGUUCACUAGGUGUAGGAAGUAUCGACCCUUUCUGUGCCACAGAUAAUUCGUUAAGUGAACCGCCUGGGAAGUACGACCGCAAGGUUA